rnacentral:piRNA from 1 species
UGGUAGUGGACCCUGGAAUGGCUCUC